UAACCGUGUUGUGAUUGAUACAGAAACCUAUUCGUGUCGCCUAAAUAGCUCAAGGAUCAACGGACGUUGGAUGUUACGAUCACACUAUCAUCCGGAGCACUCGGUAUAGUUAAAAUUCUUGUUUUUGUGUAUGGGAUGUAUAAGAUUAGACUUUACGGUACGUUUGGUUCACUGUAAUGGAAUAGGGCUGUAAUUGAAUAGAGCUGUAAUGGAAUAGAGCUGUAAUCAGUAAUUCAACUGUUUGGUUGAAUGGAAUGGAAUAGAGCUGUAAUAGAAUUCUUAUGUUUGGUUGAA